GAUUAACGCUGGCGGCGUGCAUAACACAUGCAAGUCGAACGAUGAAACUUAGUCGACUUCUUCGGAAAGACACUAAGCGGAUUAGUGGCGAACGGGUGAGUAACGCGUGAGUAACCUGCCUUACACAAGGGAAUAGCCUUUGGAAACGAAGAAUAAUACCCUAUAAAACCAUAAAAGCACAUGCUAGAAUGGUCAAAGUGAUAGCGGUGUAAGAUGGACUUGCGUCUGAUUAGCUAGUUGGUGAGAUAAAAGCUCACCAAGGCAACGAUCAGUAGCCGGCUUGAGAGAGUGUACGGCCACAUUGGGACUGAGACACGGCCCAGACUCCGACGGGAGGCAGCAGUGGGGAAUUUUGCACAAUGGGGGAAACCCUGAUGCAGCGACGCCGCGUGAUUGAGAAGGCCUUCGGGUUGUAAAAAUCUUUUGUAUAGGAAGAAAAUGACAGUACUAUACGAAUAAGGUCCGGCUAAUUACGUG
rnacentral:rRNA from 1 species